rnacentral:tRNA from 1 species
GAGUCAAUGCCCGAGAGGUUAAAGGGGUCGGACUGUAAAUCCGAUGAUUUUAAAUCUACGCUGGUUCGAAUCCAGUUUGGCUCA